AAAAUUAAAACAAAAAAUAAUAAUAUGCAAUAAAAUACUUUUAAGAACAAUUAUGUAAAUAAUUUACACAUAAUCUUCAUGAUUUUAAUUUAAAAUUCAAUGAUUUUCAACAUAUUUUGAAAAAAUAAAUACUAAAGUAAUUAAUCACUACUCUUGUUUUUAAAACUGACAUGGUCAUAAUUUAUUUAUAAUAUUUAUUAACUUAUAAUUUUUAUCAUAGUUAUUAAUUUAAAUAAAUAAAGAGAAUAAAAUAACACAAAAAUAGAAAAUCAUUGUACACUAUAGAGAAAAACAUAAUAAAUUGAAACAAAAUUAUUCACAAAUAAAAAAAUAAUUAGCAAUUCCACCCUGAAAAUAUUUUUAUAUUUCUGUAUUUAUAUAAAAUUUAUACCAACUGAAUUAUCAUAUUUAUUAAUUAAUGUAAUAAAAAUUAAUUUUUAACUGACUCUAUAUGAGCUGAAUAUUGAAAAAAGAAAGUAAAGAAGAGUUUGCAAUAAUAAAAAUUAAUAUUAUGAAAAGGCAAAAACAAGUAAAAAAAAUAAUUAAAAGAUAUAUUUAUUCCAAAAAGAAGAUUGAGGAGAGAGAUUUUUUUAUUUUUUUUAAAAAUAAUUAUGUAAAUAAUUUACAAGUAAUUUAUUAUUGUUAUUAUUAUUAUUAGUUGUCUAUUUAAUUUGAAUUUUGUUCUUAUUUAAAUUUAAAAUAGGCUGAAGAGAAGAGAAAAAGUGGGCUGAGUUAAGAUGCGAGUUAGGGCUGUUGGGCCGAAAAUUUAAAUGUUAGUAAUCUUUGGCCACUGAGAGUGCAGAACUUAUGACCGUUGGGUGGACACUUGGGCUGAAGUAAAAGGAAGGGUAGGACACUAGGGUUUGAGAGACGCCUCUCGGCCGCCUUCUCCCUUCCCCUCUCUUUCGCUGGCCACCGAGGAUUUCAUUUGGAGAAGGCGAAUUGACGGGUGAAAAGCGGGCGGGUGGGAAAUGAGGCAGACGCUUGUUGGGGGAACAGAAGGGGCGGAGACGGAGGAUAUGGGAGGAGGAUGUAGAUUGCUGAUGGAUUUGGGGCGUCCAUGGUUGAGCCGUGGGUGUUUUUUGAAGAUUGAAGGAACAAACCAGAGAUCUGAUCGGAGGAAGCAAGCCGGAUCGAUUAACAGGAAGAUAAAUCCACUACUCCUGUCCGGACGGCCAACUUUCCGGCUGUCGGGAAUUCCGGAAGCUUCCACUCAUGGCGAUGGUUUCUUACAGUGGUUGAAUAUGAAAUGGGAAAAACUUUGUUUAAGUGUCUGAGUUUAGAUGCCUUUUUUUUUACUUUUCUGGUGAUAAGAAGAUUCAUCACUGGAAAUAAAAGCAAGGAAUUUGAUUUUGCUGAAAAAUGGACUUCACAAUUACAGUUUAUAUAGGAGGUGGAGAAGUUGCAUUCACAGGUGCACAAUGGAAAGAACUGGAGAGACAAGCUAUGAUCUACACAUGCAUGAUUUCCUGUGUUCCUGUGCCGCCUCAUCUUCUCUUUCCCCUGCGGUAGUAGAUACAGCAGAAAAGGAGAUCUGGAGCCCGGGUGGUGCAAGAGGACAGACGGGAAGAAAUGGCGGUUUCAUUUGGAGAAGGCUAAGGAGGCGGCGCCGCCUGGUCAGCAUUGACGGUGCAUAUCGACGGGUGAAAAGCGGGCGGGUGGAAAUGAGGCAGACGCUCGUUGGGGGAACAGAAGGGGCGGACGAGGAGGAUAUGGAAGGAGGAGGAUGCAGAUUGCUUAUGGAUUUGGGGCGUCCAUGGUUGAGCCGUGGGUGGCUUCCCAGCGAGAAACUGCUGGUCAGACUUUAGAUCUCAUCAAGUACUUGAUGAAGUUUAAUAUCAGUCCUGGUGAUCUAAUGGAACUUUCACCUCUAUUUUCUGAUGAUAGCCAGAUAGAAAUUGACAAGUUGAGGAACUUCUAUCAAAAGUGGAGCAGUCUCCUCCCAGAACAAUGCAAGAGCUUGAGUUUGUGUCCGGUGGUUCUAUACAGAACAAUGCUCCCAGAACAAUCCAGAGUUGAUAUUAGAUAUAUUGAGUUUGACGGGUGAAAAGCGGGCGGGUGGGAAAUGAGGCAGACGCUUGUUGGGGGAACAGAAGGGGCGGAGACGGAGGAUAUGGGAGGAGGAUGUAGAUUGCUGAUGGAUUUGGGGCGUCCAUGGUUGAGCCGUGGGUGUUUUUUGAAGAUUGAAGGAACAAACCACCCGCUUUUUGCACGAAGAUGACUCUUUAAACAAUCCAGAACAAUGCUCCCAGAACAAUGCAAUCAGAAGUUAUACCGAUCAGAAGUUAUCCAAGAGCUGCACUCUAUAAGAAAGAGAGAGAUUUUCGUGGGUCUUGAUUUAUAUCCUUGACACGCAAAAUUAUAUUAGGAUUUAUGUUAAUGCAAGCAUAUUUGCCAAUUAUUUUACCAUCGUUCCCUGCCAAAAUUUAAUGGCCUUCACUCCAUGAGAUUCCUUCAUGAGAUUUCUGCUAGCUCUGGGGACACUUCUGAUUCAGUAGGAGCAAUUGAGUAGUCUUCACCCUCCAAAGAGCAUCUGUAUCAACCCACAUUUGUACUCUAUUUUACUUUGUCUUCAUAUUUAUCCUUUUGUAUUUCUCUCAAUUAAGCAAGCCAUCUUAGUUAAUUGGUACUACGACUUAUAAUUAUUUCCUGACUUAUCAAGUCAACCUGUUCUCUUUGUGGCUUUUUUUGAUUCUCCCCAUUCAUGGUAUUGUUUCUAUUACCAUUUCAAGGUGUGUUUCUUUCCCAGGAGUCGGCAUAUGCGAGAGCUGUCCACAGUGGCAGAAAAUGUGCGAAGAUGUUGUCACGGGUAACUGUUUUUAUUUCACGUCGGCGCCACCCGCGUUGUCGCUGGCGAGGGACUCGACCCAGGCAUUGGCGUCGGGGGUCAGGAUGCCGAGUUUCCAGACGUCGGUCUUCGUAGUCGGUGGACGAAGUCCAGGCAUCUGCUACCUUAGGCGGUGUUGCUGAAAAGAAGAAAAAGGGGAAGAAGAUUAGAAAUAUAUUAAAUACAAGGAUGGCAGCCACAUAGAUUCAGUUCUUGGACUUGCCUGGAACAAGGAGUUUAGAUAUGGCUCAUUUGAAAGAGACUAACAAUGGGACAAGGACUGGGAGAUUUUCCAAAUCUCCAUCAACUGACCCCUAUGUGCUUGUUCUAGUCAUUGAUGACUUUAAGGGGGACUUCUGAUUCGAUGCACUAUUUGGAAAGUUGGUUAACAAGCUGUUACCUCUGAAGGGAGUGAUGCAACUGAUGCUUAUGGCCAAUAGUCAUUUGAAUGCAGCAAAAGCAGCCCAAGUGCCAUGGAAUCUGUUUUUCCUGAAGUUGAUUUUCUAUUAUCUUUGUUUAAGAAUUCAUGUAUGCAGUUGGUUAAUCUUAGGAAAUAGGUGGUUAAUCUUAGGAAUCUUUCAGUUAAUUUCCUUUCAGUGUUCUGCUAUUCACUAGAUGAUCUCCCUAAUAUUGAUGUUUGUUCUCAGAUUGAUCAGAAACCUAGAAUGAUAAAACUGAAAUUUCUGCUCAAGACUCUAAGCAUCGGAAGACGCUUUCUGAGCUGGAAAAAUGUGUUGAUGGCUUGUUUGAUAGUUUUGCAAGGUUGGAUUCACGUAUAUAUAGUGUUGGCCAAACUGCUGCUAACGUAGGCGACCACCAGCAGGUAUGUUUGUUCUCAGAUUGAUCAGAAACUCUAGAAUGAUAAAACUGAAAUUUCUGCUCAAGACUCUAAGCAUCGGAAGACGCUUUCUGAGCUGGAAAAAUGUCUUGAUGGCUUGUUUGAUAGUUUUGCAAGGUUGGAUUCACGUAUAUAUAGUGUUGGCCAAACUGCUACUAACGUAGGAGACCACCUGCAGGUAAAGAUGCUUAAAAAGGAACAUAAAAAGGCAGAAGAACAUGAAAAGGCAGAAGAUAGGGAUCCUAAUAAUCUCAUUUCCAGCACCAUCACUUCAUCAAUGCAGAGUUUUUCAGUGAUGUAAUUAACCGGGGAAGAAAUACCAUGUUUUUUUUAGUACAGGAAGAAAUUCAAUGUAAUUUGUUUUUGUUUUUCGAGGAAACCAUGUUAUUUUUUAUUUACGGAGACGCCUGCUUGGUGGCAUUUGUUUCUUAUUUUUUUGGGGGGCAGACCGGGGUGAUGUCUAUAUAAAUUUUCCAGAUUUUUUUCAAAGUGGAGUAAAUUUGAUUUUGACUGUA